rnacentral:rRNA from 1 species
GAUGAACGCCGGCGGUGUGCCUAAUACAUGCAAGUCGAGCGCGGUCCCUUUGGUGCUUGCACCAAAGACGACUGAGCGGCGGACGGGUGAGUAACGCGUGGGUAACCUGCCCUGUACAUAUGGAUAACAUGCUGAAAAGCAUACUAAUACAUAAUAACGUAUAUUGAAGGCAUCUUCGAUGUAUCAAAGCGUUAGCGGUACAGGAUGGACCCGCGUCUGAUUAGCUAGUUGGUGGGGUAAAAGCCUACCAAGGCGACGAUCAGUAGCCGACCUGAGAGGGUGAUCGGCCACAUUGGAACUGAGACACGGCCCAA